rfam:Gossypium raimondii Chr05_contig_1362, whole genome shotgun sequence.
UGUUAAAAGUUUCAUCCAUUUCUGUUGUUAAAACCGGCGUGGCUAAUGAAAUAAUCAAACAAUUACAUAUGGCGUGUCACGUGUACCUUAUGCUGAUGUACAAUGAUCAGUUUUUAAUAGUAAAAUUUGAGGGAAUUUUUAACA